GGUGCUAUACUGCAAGUCGAGCGGACCAAUGAAGAGCUUGCUCUUCGGCGGUUAGCGGCGGACGGGUGAGUAACACGUAGGCAACCUGCCUGUACGACUGGGAUAACUCCGGGAAACCGGAGCUAAUACCGGAUACUUCUUUCAGACCGCAUGGUCUGAAAGGGAAAGACCUUUGGUCACGUACAGAUGGGCCUGCGGCGCAUUAGCUAGUUGGUGGGGUAACGGCCUACCAAGGCGACGAUGCGUAGCCGACCUGAGAGGGUGAUCGGCCACACUGGGACUGAGACACGGCCCAGACUCCUACGGGAGGCAGCAGUAGGGAAUCUUCCGCAAUGGACGAAAGUCUGACGGAGCAACGCCGCGUGAACGAUGAAGGUUUUCGGAUCGUAAAGUUCUGUUGUUAGGGAAGAACCGCCGGGAUGACCUCCCGGUCUGACGGUACCUAACGAGAAAGCCCCGGCUAACUACGUGCCAGCAGCCGC
rnacentral:rRNA from 1 species